CGGUACGACGGUAAAAUAGGCACUGCGACAUUCCGGACCAGAUUAAAACGGAGCUAGAAAUAACCGCAAAACCGAUCGACUAAACGAGCCCGAUUGGACGAGGAAUAAAAACCAACGAACUAAAAAAUCACACGGAUAAAACGAAUAAUAAUUAUGCAUAAAUUAGUAUCGGUAUUUAAUUAAUGCUACUGCAGGUAAUAACGAGCACUAAACGGCGUUAUAAAUCGAAUCUAUAUAGACGUGUUAUAAUGAGGUAACCGGGUACGCCGAAUGAAACCGGCAAUAU